rnacentral:antisense_RNA from 1 species
GUGCGCACAGUGAGGAGAGCAGCUGUGUGCAAGGUUGAAACAAAACGUUCAAAGCCCCCUUGGAAGCCCAUUCACAGGUGUGUGACUGUGAACCACAUCGUAAUCUCCUAGAAAGCAAGAACAUCAGGCUUACAUUUUUCACUUGCCUCUCAGGGCUCAGUGCUCUGCAGUAUAUACACAAUGUCAGCAAAGAUGGAAAACAGAACGUGGAGAGAGAUGUAGCUUACUAGAGCCCUGUGGCUUCAGUCCCCACCAGGAAUGUCGUUUAAGAGGAAGGUGAUCAAGCACAAAUUCACAUUUGCUUGAGGAAGAAUACAAAUAGAAGCAGCCUCGGGGAGGGGGCGGGGCUGGGGAAUCCCUGGCCUCUCUCCUUUCCUUCUGGCUGAUCUUCUGCCAGAGACCUGCAACAGGAAGCUGGGGGCCAGGAAGCCUGUGGAUGCCCUGAAGAAGAAUGAGUGAUCUGAAAGGGCAGUAGAACAGUACUAGAAUCCAGUGCAAAGGCCCUGGGGCAGGAGUUCACAUGAGAAGUGGGUAGAAGGAACCAGCCUAUGAUCCAGGAACACA